UACGUAGGCAGCAAGCGUUGUUCGGAGUUACUGGGCGUAAAGAGUGCGUAGGUGGUGCCCUAAGUCUGUUGUGAAAUCUCCCGGCUUAACUGGGAGGGUGCGGUGGAAACUGGGGUGCUUGAGUGUGGGAGAGGUAAGCGGAAUUCCUGGUGUAGCGGUGAAAUGCGUAGAUAUCAGGAGGAACACCGGUGGUGUAGACGGCUUACUGGACCACGACUGACACUGGGGCACGAAAGCGUGGGUAGCAAACAGG
rnacentral:rRNA from 1 species